rnacentral:rRNA from 1 species
GAUGAACGCUGGCGGCGUGCCUAAUACAUGCAAGUCGAGCGAACGGACGAGAAGCUUGUUUCUCUGAUGUUAGCGGCGGACGGGUGAGUAACACGUGGAUAACCUACCUAUAAGACUGGGAUAACUUCGGGAAACCGGAGCUAAUACCGGAUGAUAUUUUGAACCGCAUGGUUCAAAAGUGAAAGACGGUCUUGCUGUCACUUAUAGAUGGAUCCGCGCUGCAUUAGCUAGUUGGUAAGGUAACGGCUUACCAAGGCAACGAUGCAUAGCCGACCUGAGAGGGUGAUCGGCCACACUGGAACUGAGACACGGUCCAGACUCCUACGGGAGGCAGCAGUAGGGAAUCUUGCGCAAUGGGCGAAAGCCUGACGGAGCAACGCCGCGUGAGUGAUGAAGGUCUUCGGGUCGUAAAACUCUGUUAUUAGGGAAGAACAUAUGUGUAAGUAACUGUGCACAUCUUGACGGUACCUAAUCAGAAAGCCACGGCUAACUACGUG